rnacentral:lncRNA from 10 species
GAUGCGAACUGGGGCCACGGCAGCCAUCGCGCUUUGCAGUUCGGUCUCCUGGUGUACGGCCAACGCCAAGUAGGGGAUUGCGUUCCCUCCAGUCGCAGACAGAGUUUCCCUCUUGUCGCCCAGGCUGGAGUGAAGUGGCACGAUCUCGGCUUACUGCAAGCUCCGCCUCCCGGGUUCACGCCAUUCUCCUGCCUCAGCCUCCCGAGUAGCUGGGACUACAGACCCUAUCAGAUUUGGAUAUGUCCUUCAUAUUUGAUUGGAUUUACAGUGGUUUCAGCAGUGUGCUACAGUUUUUAGGAUUAUAUAAGAAAACUGGUAAACUGGUAUUUCUUGGAUUGGAUAAUGCAGGAAAAACAACAUUGCUACACAUGCUAAAAGAUGACAGACUUGGACAACAUGUCCCAACAUUACAUCCCACUUCCGAAGAACUGACCAUUGCUGGCAUGACGUUUACAACUUUUGAUCUGGGUGGACAUGUUCAAGCUCGAAGAGUGUGGAAAAACUACCUUCCUGCUAUCAAUGGCAUUGUAUUUCUGGUGGAUUGUGCA